AGGUUUGGAGAAGCGAGAGGGAGAGGGAGGACGCGCUCACAGAAAGUGUUGCUGCCAUGUCAGACAAGAAGGAUCAGGAGAACUUGCAGUUGGCGAUGAAGGUGCCAGUGCUUCCCUCCGGAGCCGGCUGCUCAGAGCUGAGGUCGGCCAUGCUGAAGUGCAUUGCAGAGAAAGGCGAGGGCAACUGUCAAGAGGCAACGGAAGCCUACAAGAGCUGUGUGAAAACGUUAGCAUUUAAAGUUGAAGAUCAGGAGCACUGAUCUUUCCAUCUCUGCAAUGGCCAGAAUCGCUCCCUCUCCUUCUUCCAGUUUCCCAUUUGUUUCCAUGUGGUUCCACCCACAGCAGCCAUCUGCUUGGUAAAUAAACCACAGCAGAACAAUCACACUGACCCGUUUCAUUUGGAUUUAAUUAUUGGUGGAGUGGUGUGUGCACAUCUGAAGAGGUCUUCGGUCUUCAACCUUUUACCUAGAUGCUGCUUUUUCUGUUUUAGAAUAUAUUGGAAUACAAAGAUGUAACUAACUUGUCAAGCCUCUUGGAUUGACAAGUUAGGGACCUUCCACAUUUGUAAAACCAGUUGUUUUUCUCUCCACAAGAAGUCAUUCUUCACCGAUUCACCAUUAAUGCAGGCUCUCCCUCAUCAGAAAGUGACAUGGUGAUAAAUUCUUCAAUCUUCCACCCCACCACCGAUGAAAACAAAAAAUAACUGCAGGCGCUGGAAGAUUGAAACAAAGUGCUGGAACGUCUCUUCAGGUCAGGCAGCAUCCAAGGACAGAAAAACGUUUCCUGUCAAAAGCCCUUCACCAGCUUCACAUUUCCAGCAUUGGCAUUUUUAAUGUUUAUUGGAUUUAAGGCACUGCCCCUCUGUUAAAGCUUCUAAUAAAUACAUUUUCAUGCAUUGAGAGGCGCAGAAUAUGUUCUUUCCAUCAAUCCCAACAACAAAUGCUGAUGAUAAAAUUAAUUUCGCUUUCACUUUUAAAGAGUGAAAUUAGAAUGAACAAAAUUAAACAAAUUUUAAAUUUCCUAUAUAUUGAGCAGUUUAGAGGCUAAUCUAAAGGUGCUUGAGCCCAACGCUGUACUCCAAUGACAAACAU